rnacentral:rRNA from 1 species
UACGUAGGGGGCAAGCGUUGUCCGGAUUUAUUGGGCGUAAAGAGCGUGUAGGCGGCCAAACAGGUCAGCUGUGAAAACUCGAGGCUCAACUUCGAGCUGUCGGUGGAAACUUUCUGGCUAGAGUCCGGAAGAGGAGAAUGGAAUUCCUGGUGUAGCGGUGAAAUGCGCAGAUAUCAGGAAGAACACCCGUGGCGAAGGCGGUUCUCUGGGACGGUACUGACGCUGAGACGCGAAAGCGUGGGGAGCGAACAGG